rnacentral:rRNA from 1 species
GAGUACUCGAGUGGCGAACGGGUGAGUAACACGUGGGUAAUCUGCCCUGCACUCUGGGAUAAGCCUGGGAAACUGGGUCUAAUACUGGAUAUGACCUUUCUCCUUAUGGGGUUUGGUGGAAAGUUUUUCGGUGUAGGAUGAGCCCGCGGCCUAUCAGCUUGUUGGUGGGGUGAUGGCCUACCAAGGCGACGACGGGUAGCCGGCCUGAGAGGGUGAUCGGCCACAUUGGGACUGAGAUACGGCCCAG